rnacentral:piRNA from 1 species
UGUAAUUGUUGUAUUCUCAGUGUCAUGU